rnacentral:rRNA from 14 species
ACGCGAGCUGGGUUCAGAACGUCGUGAGACAGUUCGGUCCCUAUCCGUCGUGGGCGUAGGAAAUUUGAGAGGAGCUGUCCUUAGUACGAGAGGACCGGGACGGACGAACCUCUGGUAUGUCAGUUGUACCGCCAGGUGCAUGGCUGAUUAGCUACGUUCGGGAUGGAUAACCGCUGAAAGCAUCUAAGCGGGAAGCCCACCUCAAGA